AUUUUUGGUAUUGCUUAGUGUAGAAAUAUAUAUUUUUCUUUUAACAACACAAUAGUUAAUCAGAUUUUUUAAUCAUAUGUCCAUUGAAAAUUAAUUUUAACUCUUCAUCAAACAAGUUUUCUAGUAUCCUACUAAUCGUUCCUAGACUCCCCAAGUGUCACGCAUUUCUUGAAGAAUUCUACCGUCCCGCCCGCGACAGCUAAAUGUCACGCUUUUAGGCCAUUUUUUUGUUAUUGGCGAUAAAUUUAAUAUUUCAAGAAAGUUUUUCCAUUUAAUGAUGCUCUACUUCAGCAUGCACAGUUCGUUGACUUUCGAAAGCAAACUAAUGCACGAUUUGAAAACGUGCAAUACUUUGUCAAGAGGUUUGAAACUUUGUUAGCAGAUAUUGAUUGUAAUGAGUUAUAUGAUGAAUUUAUGGACUAUAAAAUCAUGAUACUUCCACACGAUAUUGAAAUGAGCUUCAAAUGUGAUUCUGGAACUAUAAAUGUACUAAAGAUGGAUUUGCUAUGGUUCUUUCAAAACAAUUGAAACCAUCUGGGAAUCUACAAUUCAAAAUCUCAAUAGGAUUGCUAUGAUUGACACAUCCCCAUUCAAAUGCUGAAUCAGAAAGUUUUUUCUAUCAUUAAAAGAAUCAAGACAGACAACCGGACCACACUGAACAAUGAGGUACUAUCAAACUUAGUGUGCGCAAAGAUAAACAAAUUUUCUAAAGAAGCAUGUUUUAACAUGCAGAUUAGUGACAGUGCACUAACAAAAUGUAAAUCAGCUAUGUGGAUAUAUAAUAAAGCACAUAUCAAUUCGAAAGAAUGAACGUAUGUAGAUUAUACAUCAAAAAAUGAAAAAUAAAUGAUUUGUCCAGCAAAUGACCUGUAU
rnacentral:lncRNA from 1 species